rnacentral:rRNA from 1 species
UCGGGAAUUUUGGGCAAUGGGCGAAAGCCUGACCCAGCAACGCCGCGUGAAGGAUGAAGUAUUUCGGUAUGUAAACUUCGAAAGAAUAGGAAGAAUAAAUGACGGUACUAUUUAUAAGGUCCGGCUAACUACGUGCCAGCAGCCGCGGUAAUACGUAGGGACCAAGCGUUGUUCGGAUUUACUGGGCGUAAAGGGCGCGUAGGCGGCAAUUCAAGUCAUCUGUGAAAUCUCCGGGCUUAACUCGGAACGGUCAGAUGAUACUGCUUUGCUAGAGUGCAGAAGGGGCAAUCGGAAUUCUUGGUGUAGCGGUGAAAUGCGUAGAUAUCAAGAGGAACACCUGAGGUGAAGACGGGUUGCUGGGCUGACACUGACGCUGAGGCGCGAAAGCCAGGGGAGCAAACGGGAUUAGAUACCCAUGUAGUCCCUGAGCGGGCUGGCAAGGCGCAU